rnacentral:piRNA from 1 species
UGGGUGGCUUUCUGUCUCCACAUGAGAUAUA